rnacentral:misc_RNA from 1 species
UUGAUUCAUUGUGUAAUGAUUCCACUCAGACAUGCUUAAGACAAGAAUACAAGAGUUUGGGUCCCCCGGCGGGCGCCUGGUUCCGGGGCCCCGAGACCUGCUGAGAGGUCCCGGGUUCCCGGGGCAAAGACCCGCCGAAGCAACGGUUGUAAAGGUAUAAGUUCACAUGGGGUUUGGGAGUUGUAAACUCGGUAAUGAUCCCUCCGCUGGUUCACCAACGGAGA